CAGUUUGGAGGAAGAAGGCUACCUUGACCUGUCAAAUUCUAUCCACCUCUUCUGUGUGGGAAAUGUGUUCCUACCUCGUCUGCGGGCAGAUCUGCAGCAUUUCACAGAGAGUUGGAAUAAUCCCCCUUUGAAUACAGAGGCGAACCUGACACCUCACCAGCUGUUGCUUUAGCACUACACAACGGAUUCAAAUGAUCAAGUCAUCAUCAAGCUUCAAGUGGUUAUAUCAGCUGUAUUGAUGAACACCUCCCGCAUCUGAACAGGCUGACACAGAGGGCACAGCAUUAUCAUAGGUAUGAUUUGAUGUGAGAGAGGAAGCCAGUCCCGUCAUCGCCACCUCACCCGCUCUUAAGAUAACCUUCGGGCCAACUGGGGGCCCAAGGCUGGUUAGGAGACACCGCUAGAGACUCUAUGUAAUUGUGAUGAACUGAGAGAAUAUUAGGGUAGCCCUGUAAUUCAUUAAUCAUAUGCUGUCUGCCUUUGUUCUUACCUCUCUCCCAACCUCGUCUUUCUUACUCGGUUUUUAUGCACACCAUAUGUGCAUUAAAGUACAGAAUGAACUUGUAUUUAUAAUAUAACAUCACAAUUAUCAUAAUUAUAAUGCAUUUAUGUAUUUAGAACACCUGGAUAAUGAACAUUUCACAUUCUCCGCUGGUUGAAAUUAAGUAUCUCAUUGAAAUACUAUCCUGUGUCCUCAGAUGAAUGCAGAUGAAGUUAGAUAGGAAGUGUAGUGUACUGUUUUUUUCCUUGUAUAUAUGAAUUACAAAUCAGCCUUUACUUAAAUAAUGUUUCUAGUCUAUUGCAUAGUUACAAUGUGUAAUCAUUGAUGUCCCAGGAGCAGGAGUGUUAAACACUGUUGAAGUGUAUAAUUGUAAUACAUACAUGCAGACACAGCAUAUAUUCAAUGUGCACAUCCAUAGGCAUACAGUUAUUUUUAUCCUCCACUACAUAAUAAGCAAGUAAAUAGUUAGCUAGCUAUGUUACUUCAGCUGCAUUGCAAGGCAAGCUUACACAAUUGUACAUUCAAUUUGCAGUAAAUGCUAUCUAUUAGCCAGCUAGAUUCUUUACAUCCACUGUUUCCCAUGACGACAGCCUGGUUUCCUGGUUUUCUCAGGAAGUCCCUAAAACAUUAAACAACACGAAUUACAAUUUCAUACUUAUGUCAUAACACUAGCUAGCUGGCUAAUGUUAGAUAGUCAGCUAACUUGCUAAAUAGCGAUUUUCGUAAAUGAACUUUGACAAAAAAAUAUGCACAAUCUACAUUUAACUAACAUAUUCCUCUCUAUUGUAAAUGUUUUUGCUUGACCCGUUAUGACGUUAUAUUUACUUGCAUUUGCUUCCACCGUAAUGUUUUGUCAGCCAUCUUUGCUGAAGAAAGUCACCGGCGACGGAUGGCUCGCGUCAAAUUCGUCAUUGGAACCACCCGAUAUGAUUCGUCAUAUGAAAACCUUGGGACCCAAAUCCAUAAUGAGUUCUCUAACUCCCCCUUGUGGUGGUCUGGAGCAAUGAAGCCAUGACGCUGGAUACCUCUGAGUCCCGCAGUGUAAGCUCACAUCUUUUAAAGGAGCAACCACUGUAUGUUGUUAUCUUAGGUCUCUUUAUGUAGUGUCUCUCGUCGUGAUGUAUGUUUUGUCCUAUAUUUUUAUUUACUUAAUCCUUGUUUUUAAUCCCCAGCCCCCG